rnacentral:misc_RNA from 1 species
AUAUAUAUAUCAACCUUCUCUUUGAUGAGUGGCUUGGAUGUGGGGGCUUGCUGGUGGCCUCUUAGGAGGGUUCAGCUCCCCUGAAAUGCAUUAGCAGAACAAACCUGUUCAUUGGUGUGAUAACUAUCUACGCUAUUGAAUGUGAGGGGCAGUUCAGCUUUCUAACGGUCCUUUUGGGACAGAUUCAUCAUUA